UACGUAGGGUGCAAGCGUUAAUCGGAAUUACUGGGCGUAAAGCGUGCGCAGGCGGUUAUAUAAGACAGAUGUGAAAUCCCCGGGCUCAACCUGGGAACUGCAUUUGUGACUGUAUAGCUAGAGUACGGUAGAGGGGGAUGGAAUUCCGCGUGUAGCAGUGAAAUGCGUAGAUAUGCGGAGGAACACCGAUGGCGAAGGCAAUCCCCUAGACCUGUACUGACGCUCAUGCACGAAAGCGUGGGGAGCAAACAGG
rnacentral:rRNA from 1 species